GGACACUCUCUUUUUAAAAGCCCUCUCCAGACCAUUAACGAUGUUGGCAAAACAUGAACUGACCCCAUUUGAAUAUUCAGAAGUCCAAAAAUAUAACCAAAGUUAAAUUCUGUGCUAUUUAAUGCAACUUAAUUUCAACCUUGUAUUAGAAGAAAGACUCGUGGUCACUUAAAUUGCGUGAAUUCUUUGCAGGCUAUUGGGCAAAAGACCUUGGGGCACAGACACGCAUUAAUUAGUAAAUAGCUGUGGCAGUUUAAGACAUUAUGACCUCUCCAACUGUUUGCCAUUUAGCCUCUGGCAGGGUUUCUCACUGCUCCAAACAGAGGAUGGAACAAGAACAGGACAUCUAAUACAGUUAGCCCUAAGCUAGUUCAUCUGCAGAUAUGGAUGGCAUUGCCACAGUGCAAGAAAUAUCUUGUGAUGAGUCUGUCUUCAAGCAUGACCUUGUGGACCAGGUGAAAGACCUAGAAGAGGAACACUGAGUGCCCACUUCACAACAAUGCAUCUUAAGCAGGUCAUGCAGUAUCUCACAGGAACAUCAAACGUAUCUUUAUCUACAUAAUAUGAUAUG
rnacentral:lncRNA from 1 species